GAGGCCCAGAGUGAGGGUCGGGGGGGCCCGGCCCGCGCCCUCCGCGCCCAGCCGCCUCCCCGUCCACGCCCAGGGCUGGGGCGGGCCCGGCUGCCUUUCAGACUUGGGGGGCUUCUCCUCUUGUCUCCCACUGGUGCUCUGGCUGUGAAUCCAUCCAGGGGCCCGAUGACAACCCGACACCAAGGCCAGCAGUACAGGCCGAGGAUGGCCUUCCUCCAGAAGGAUUCCAAGCUGUGUCCUCGGCCUGGAGACUGGGACAGAGAUCUGACCACCCCAGCCCGAGUCACACAAGAUUGAAACCAGUAAAAAAACAUGCAGAACAAAAGAUGGCGACCGAAAUCCAAAGCCAGGGGGCCUGAAAAUCAGAGGGUGUUACAACAUAACAGGCGGUUACAGGCCAUGGCUCAGGGUAGGCCUGGAAUAGACUGUGGUUCUCUUCUACAAAUCAACCUAGACUGGACGGACAGAACUCCGAGGGAGGAAAGAAAAUGAAUCUGAUGUUACUUUUGGAAACCACAUUUUCUGAAGUCACCAUUUUUAUAUAUCAACUCAUCAUUUUUAUGUAUCUAUCAAUAUGAUUUUCUGAUCUUAUGUUUUCCUACUAAUGUGAUAAAUUACCUUGAUGGAUUUUAGAAUAUUAAAUCACCUUUGUAUUCCUGGAAUAAAUCCUAAAUGGAUGUUUGAUUUUUGCUAAU